rnacentral:rRNA from 1 species
AGCGACACCCAGGGAACUGAAACAUCUAAGUACCUGGAGGAAAAGUAAUCAAAAUUGAGAUUCCCUCAGUAGUGGCGAGCGAAAGGGGAAGAGUCUAAACCGUUAUAAUGCCAAGUUGCAAGAUUUUGUUAUAGCGGUGUUGUAGGGCGAUAUGUGAAAUACUUGCAUAUUUCGACUUUAAUCUAUAUGAUAGUAGAACUGUUUUGGAAAAGCAGACCAUAGUGGGUGAUAGUCUCGUAUAUGAAAUCAUAUAGUUAAGGUUAUGUCGUUCCUGAGUAGGGCGGGGCACGAGAAACCCUGUUUGAAUCUGGGUAGACCACUAUCCAAGACAAAAUACUAGCCAGUGACCGAUAGUGUAGAGUACCGUGAGGGAAAGGUGAAAAGUCUCCCGUUGAGGGCUAUUAAAUAGAACCUGAAACCUUAAGCUUACAAGUAGUCAGAGGGUAUCCUAUUAGCAAUAAUAGCGACCUAAUGGCGUGCCUUUUGUAGAAUGAGCCUGCGACUUAUAGUAUGUAGCAAGAUUAAGAGGUAAUAGCCUUGUAGUCGUAGUGAAAGCGAGCCUUAAUAGGGCGAAAUUAGUUGCAUGCUAUACGACCCGAAGCCAAGUGAUCUACCUAUGAGCAGCGCGAAACUCGAGUAACAUCGAGCGGAGGUGCGAACCAGUGGUCGUGAAAAGACUUUGGAUGACUUGUGGGUAGGAGUGAAAGGCUAAUCAAACUUGGAGAUAGCUGGUUCUCUCCGAAAUGUCUUUAGGGGCAGCGUUAUGCGUUUACUUGCGGGGGUAGAGCACUAAAUGGACUAGGGCUCCUAACCGAGUACCAAACCCAACUAAACUCCGAAUACCGUAAGUUAAGAGCAUGGCAGUUAGACAGCGGCGGAUAAGCGUCAUUGUCAAAAGGGAAACAGCCCAGAUCCUCAGCUAAGGUCCCAAAAUCUAUGUUAAGUGGGAAAGGAUGUGAGAAUACUUAAACAGCCAGGAGGUUGGCUUAGAAGCAGCCAUUCCUUUAAAGAGUGCGUAACAGCUCACUGGUCGAGUGUUUUUGCGCCGAAAAUGUAACGGGGCUCAAACAUAGUACCGAAGCUAGGGAAUUAUAGAGUUGAUCUAUAAUUGGUAGGAGAGCGUUCUUUAAGCCGUUGAAGGUAUGUCGUAAGAUAUACUGGAGGUAUAAGAAGCGAGGAUGCAGGCAUAAGUAACGAGAAAACGGGUGAAAAACCCGUUCGCCGCAAACCCAAGGUUUCCUAGGUAAAGCUAAUCUGCCUAGGGUUAGUCGACCCCUAAGAUAAGGCUGAAAAGCGUAGUCGAUGGGAAACAGGUAAAUAUUCCUGUACUAUAGUAUGUUUCGAUGGAAUGACACAGAUUGUUUGCGUGCGCGAGGUUUUGGUUGUCCUCGUCGAACCGUUUAGACUUGUGGCGAGUCAAAUGCUUGUCGCUUUAAGGUUGAGACGGGAUAGUGACUGGGCUUUCGGGUUCAGGAAGUUGCGUGAACUAGGCUGUCGAGAAAUAAUUUCUAAGGUUAGGCAUAUUAUAAUCGUACCGUAAACCGACACAGGUGGGUGAGAUGAAUAUUCUAAGGCGCUCGAGAUAAUCUUCCCUAAGGAACUCUGCAAAUUAGUCUUGUAACUUCGGAAAAAGAGACGCCUGAAUCUCGAUAGCAAUAUUGGGAGGAGGGUCGCAGUGAAAAGGCCUGGCCGACUGUUUAACAAAAACACAGAUCUCUGCAAACAUGCAAAUGGAUGUAUAGGGAUUGACACCUGCCCAGUGCUGGAAGGUUAAAAGGAGAGGUUAGCGCAAGCGAAGCUUCGAAUUGAAGCCCCAGUAAACGGCGGCCGUAACUAUGACGGUCCUAAGGUAGCGAAAUUCCUUGUCGGGUAAGUUCCGACCUGCACGAAUGGUGUAACGAUCCGGGCACUGUCUCGGGGAAGAACUCGGUGAAAUUGAAUUAUCAGUGAAGAUGCUGAUUACCCGCAACAGGACGGAAAGACCCCGUGAACCUUUACUAUAACUUGGCAUUGAGUUUUGUUUUGCGAUGUGUAGAAUAGAUGGGAGACUUUGAAGCGAGAGCGCCAGCUUUUGUGGAGUCAUCGUUGAAAUACCAUCCUUCGUAAAAUGGGAUUCUAACGAUUAGCCGUUAUCCGGCAGUCGGACAUUGCCAGGCGGGUAGUUUGACUGGGGCGGUCGCCUCCUAAAGAGUAACGGAGGCGUGCAAAGGUCACCUCAAACCGAAUAGAAAUCGGUAGUAGAGUAUAAAGGCAUAAGGUGGCUUGACUGCGAGAGAGACAUCUCGAGCAGGUGCGAAAGCAGGUCUUAGUGAUCCGGUGGUCCCGAGUGGAAGGGCCAUCGCUAAACGGACAAAAGGUACUCCGGGGAUAACAGGCUUAUCUC